GGGAUCGCCGGCCCCGCUCCGCCGGCUCUCCUCCGCCGCCGUUCUCCUCCUUCUCACCGUCCUCCUCCUCUCCCCCGCCGCCGGUGCUAUCUACUGCGACGAGGACGACUGCUACGACCUCCUCGGCGUCUCGCAGAGCGCCAAUGCCUCGGAGAUUAAGAAAGCAUACUACAAGCUCUCGCUCAAACAUCACCCGGAUAAGAAUCCGGACCCGGAAUCAAAGAAGCUGUUCGUCAAAGUUGC
rnacentral:misc_RNA from 1 species